GGGAUGCUGCGGCUCCGCAGCGGGCUGAGGCACCUUCGGGCAACACCCAAUACUCGGGGCUCCGCUCGGCUUCUUUGCGCCGAGAUGCCUAAGAAGGCUGGUGCGACGACCAAGGCCAGUAGCAGGGUAAAAGCCAGAGCAAGGAACCAGAGAGACCACUUCCUCCCUUAGGUCCUGUGGCAGUUGAUCCUAAAGGAUGCGUCACCAUAGCCAUCCAUGCAAAACCUGGCUCCAAACAAAAUGCUGUAACAGAUUUGACAGCAGAGGCUGUAAAUGUAGCUAUUGCAGCACCUCCAUCAGAGGGAGAGGCUAAUGCUGAGCUCUGUCGGUAUCUUUCCAAGGUCCUAGAACUCAGGAAGAGUGAUGUGGUUUUGGAUAAGGGUGGUAAAUCUCGUGAAAAGGUGGUGAAGCUUUUGGCUUCUACAACUCCAGAAGAGAUCUUGGAGAAAUUAAAAAAGGAAGCCAAAAAAACAUAAAAGCAAGAAAUGAGGCCGGGCGCAGUGGCUCAUGCCUGUAAUCCCAGCACUUUGGGAGGCCGUGGUGGGCGGAUCACCUGAGGUCAGGAGUUCGAGACCAGCCUGACCAACAUGGUGAAACCCCAUCUCUACGAAAAAUACAAAAUUAGCCAGAUGUGAUGGCGCAUGCCUGUAAUCCCAGUUACUCAGGAGGCUGAGGCAGGAGAAUCACUUGAACCUGGGGGGCGGAGGUUGCAGUAAGCCGAGAUCGCGCCGUUGCACUCCAGCCUGGGCAACAAGAGUGAAACUCUCUCCCCC
rnacentral:lncRNA from 1 species